GAGCCUAGUUGUGUUGCCUGAGGUGUUGCUGCCAGUGUAGGGUGUUUUAGGUUCCUCUUAGCAAGGUGCAGCAGAAAGGAAAAGAAAACUUUCUAUAAAAGGCAAGGUAGCUUCCAAUGUAGACAGAUAAGGAACUAUAGAGUCUUUAUUUCAUAAGGACAUUAAUCAGAUUUUUGAUGUUAUCUGCUCUAAAUAUCAUGUUUUCCUUUCAGUGAGGACAAUGAUAUUGACUGUUGAUAAGAUCAUGCAACAUUUACAUAAAAAAACAUGUCCGCACAUAGGUGUGAGUGUUAAAAGGCCUUGGGCUGUGUUCACCAUGGCAUACAGUACUAGUGUACUGCCAUGGGGCUCUGGGUUGAUGUGGUUUGUAGCUUGUUUUAGCCAGUUGUCAAUCAUCCACCAGGUGAAAAUUAUUUAUAACUUCAGACUUAUGUGUCAAAGCAGUGUUACAUUGCUUCUCUCUCUCUCUCUCUCUCUCUCUCUCUCUCUCUCUAUCUAUCAAAAAAAUGGAGUCAAAAUUAGAUGUUAAAAAUCAUAGACAAUAUCCCAUCCUAUUUAUUUGUUUAAAGGGAUAGUUAACCCAAAACUGAUUUCUGUCAAUUUACUCACCUUCAGGCCAUCCAAGAUGUAUGUGACUUUAUUUCUUGAGUCCUUGGUGAUUAAUUUCUUCAGUCCUUCAUUCAAGUGUUCGGUUCACACAUACAAAUAUCAUCGGUCCAAGCUGAACUGUUCACUGUCCAGUUCAAAAGAAUCAUGCAUUGGACAUCACUCCGGACUGUUUGCCUGAGGAUCUGGAUUAAAGAUAAGUAUUGUUUCUUUUUUUGCACACACCGAUUGUUUGGCAUUAUAAGUCCUCAAUAUAUUAAUUGUCAGGAACAAUGGGUAUUCAUUUUGCGUUUUGUGUUCCUUGAUAUGCUUUUUCUUAUUUAAAGUGACAGUAGCCACUGACUUGCAUUUUAUGAAUCACCAAGGACCACGGUUUCGUGGACAUCUUGAAAAAUGUAGAGAGCGCCGUGGCAACGCUUCAAAUAUUCAAACACUCAUCGCCAAAGUUCCAAAUUUAAUUUGCGGCGAUGUUCUGACCUCAGACGAGCUGGAAAUCAGACACACACGUCACUCUGACCAGAGAUGCACCGUGUGGGAUGGACAGGUGCCACGAAGCACUUAUGCCCCACUGACUUCCAUUGUAUGGAAAAGAGCAGCACAGAUAUUCAGCAAAACAUCUCCUUUUAUGCUCCACAGAAGACAGAAAGUCACAGGGCUUUCAAACAGUGAGUAUUUGAGUUCGAUAGCCCACAUAUUCAGCUUAUAUUGUCAGUCUGCGCAGCAAGAAUGCGGAUGCCUCUGUCAAUCUGCGUGUAUGUUUCUUUUGUAAAUAACAAAAAGAGCACCCUGUGCUUUUUUAUCUCACCUGCCCACACUCUCAACAACCUCCACAUCUACAACCUUUCCUCUUCCUCAUCGCUGUCUCUCUCUCUCUUGGAGGGGGCGGUGUAGGCGUUCAAGGCUCAAAAGAACCAAGGAACAUCGCCGCUACAGUCAAAAAUAUCUAAAGGAAGCACACAUAUGUGCACCGAUUGUGUUGGCAUUCGCGCUGUUGGCAGAGAAAAGCAGUGUUGGGCCGUUGUGGAGGAUAUUUCCAUAGAUGAGCAGCAGAGUGGCUUUAUUUUUAGAUAAAUCACUCUGAGCAUGCAAAGAAAGACAGUAGCCACAAAGCAGUUUGGGUGAAGAAGAGCCUCUUUGCAAAC
ensembl:lncRNA